rnacentral:rRNA from 1 species
AUUGAACGCUGGCGGCAGGCCUAACACAUGCAAGUCGAGCGGGGUUUUCGGACCUAGCGGCGGACGGGUGAGUAAUGCGUAGGAAGCUACCCGAUAGAGGGGGGUACCAGUUGGAAACGACUGUUAAUACCGCAUAAUGUCUACGGACCAAAGUGUGGGACCUUCGGGCCACAUGCUAUCGGAUGCGCCUACGUGGGAUUAGCUAGUUGGUGAGGUAAUGGCUCACCAAGGCGACGAUCCCUAGCUGGUUUGAGAGGAUGAUUAGCCACACUGGAACUGAGACACGGGCCAGACUCCUACGGGAGGCAGCAGUGGGGAAUAUCGGACAAUGGGCGCAAGCCUGAUCCAGCCAUGCCGCGUGUGUGAAGAAGGCCUUCGGGUUGUAAAGCACUUUCAGCGAGGAGGAAGGGUGGCGUGUUAAUAGCACAUCAUUUUGACGUUACUCGCAGAAGAAGCACCGGCUAACUCUGUGCCAGCAGCCGCCGUAAAAC